rnacentral:rRNA from 1 species
CUACGGGUGGCUCCAGUGGGGAAUAUUGCACAAUGGGCGCAAGCCUGAUGCAGCCAUGCCGCGUAUAUGAAGAAGGCCUUCGGGUUGUAAAGUACUUUCAGCGGGGAGGAAGGGAGUAAAGUUAAUACCUUUGCUCAUUGACGUUACCCGCAGAAGAAGCACCGGCUAACUCCGUGCCAGCAGCCGCGGUAAUACGGAGGGUGCAAGCGUUAAUCGGAAUUACUGGGCGUAAAGCGCACGCAGGCGGUUUGUUAAGUCAGAUGUGAAAUCCCCGGGCUCAACCUGGGAACUGCAUCUGAUACUGGCAAGCCUGAGUCUCGUAGAGGGGGGUAGAAUUCCAGGUGUAGCGGUGAAAUGCGUAGAGAUCUGGAGGAAUACCGGUGGCGAAGGCGGCCCCCUGGACGAAGACUGACGCUCAGGUGCGAAAGCGUGGGGAGCAAACAGGAUUAGAUACCCGCGUAGUC